rnacentral:lncRNA from 1 species
GGGUGGGCCCUUUAAGGACAACCCCACGGUAAUGAUCUUGCAUAUCAAUAAGUGGGACGAAAUGGAUGACCCUUAACAGACCGAGUCUGUUACGUGGGGCCUUUAAGGACAACCCCCAUGACAUUGAUCUUACAUAUCAAUAAGCAGGACAAAAUGUACGUCACAUCUCACAUUCUUCAAUAUUGAAGGGUAGAGAAUCGACGACAACUGUUUUAACGUGUAUAGGCCAUGCAUCAUGUGGAAGGAGACGAGUUAGCGGCUACAAUUAUGUAGCAUUGAACUAACUCGUGAUAAAGUAGUGGAAGACCACUUCAAUCAACGACGACUUGAGUAGUUGGUAACAUAUAUGACCUCACAUUUAGUUUAUGGUCCCAUCCCACCACCCUAACCAAAAUAAUGGUUUAUUCCUUUUCUUCUUUUUAUGAGACGUGACGUGUUAAAUUUUCUAUGAUUAAACAACACAAAUUAUUCAAAUCUCUUUUGUCACACCCAAUUAAAUUGGUAUUAAAUUAUUAGUAGGAUAAUUAAUCAAAUUUCCAUGCAUAAAACUAUAUUAUAUUGUUUCAAGUUGGAUCAAAUGAAUCUGGUCGUUUUUCUAAAAGACAAAGAGACACAUUACACCUACAUGAUACAUGGUUAUCAAAUCCAUGAAGAUUCAUUGGUUGAUUGAUAAGGUAAGUUCAUAAAUCAUAUACACAACUACACAGCUAAUCCUACCUUAAUUCAACAACAAAAGACAGCCUAUAACAUACUCAUAACAUGACCAAGAUAAUAAUACAACAUGAUAACAACAUGAACCAAAUUUCCAUUGAUGAUGAACCAUGUUCUUUAGAUCCAUGGGAAAAAAUAAUCAACGGACGAGAUUCAUUCGAAGAUUGACCCGCUCGCUAGAGUUCUUCGCCUUUGCAAGGGUAGAUGACUAGAUUCAUCUUUCCAUACAUUUGUUUCCCAAGGCUUCAUGUCACAAAAAAACCAUAACCGGUUGCUUCGAGGCUAUGGAAAAAAAAGGGGCGAAUUGUAACACGAGCCCGGGGUUUUACACAUUGCAUUCCCUAGUUUUGAUUCACUGUCUUUGAUCUUCUUUGGUUUUUUUGAAACUGCGAAUGUUUGUGAUCGUAAUCAAAAGUUUUGGACCAACAUUAGUCGUUCGAUUAGGGUCCGACUUCUGAUCAAAAAAGUGCAAGCUUCAAGUAUCCUUCUAUUUACAAACCAAGGUGCUUUAAUCAAUCAAUCAAACAGUUGAUCAUCCAACUUAUUUGGCGUCUCGAGUCGGGCUACUAGCAAGUCAAGUGCUUCUCUCAUCCAAGCAUAUUGGCAAGAUUCUUUAGCUUUAGAUGCACUCAUCUGAAAACCAAUUCAAACAUUUGUAAGCAUAAAUCUUCCUGAAAAACUUAUGCUGCAAGUUGUCUUUUAAAACCUACCCAUUGUCUUUGGCGAAUCGCUUUCUCGGGCCAUUGGUCAAGUUCUUCAUUCACAAGUAAAGGGAACAUGUGUCCUUCAUAGUAUGCAUCAUUGCCUUUGCUCUUGAAGCACCAUUUCCCCAAUUCACUCCCAACUUUUCCGGUCACUCCGGCUUCUUCGAUUGUUUCUCGUUGAGCCGCGUCUUCAAUCUCUUCAUCCAAUUCCCAUCCUCCCUGUUAAUUCAUUUGACCAUGUGGAAUAACACUCCUUUGCCUUUUCUUUGAGCACUUAUCACAAGCACCUCGAGUGCAUCUUCUAUGCCUGAUUUCUUUAUGCUACCUUUUAACCUGUAAGGUAUGCAUCUGCACAACAUUUUCAAAUUAAUUAUUAGAAAACUAUUACUCAUAAAUAUUCCUGUUUCUAAAUUAAUUUUAAUUUCACCCAAAUUUUAAUCAAAUUAAUUAUUAGAAAACUAUUACUCAUAAAUAUUCCUAUUUCUAAAUUAAUUUUAAUUUCACCCAAAUUUAAAUCAAAUUUUACUUGUAACUUAAAAAUCUCCAAAUUUACUUUUUCCCCAAAUUCC